GAUGAACGCUGGCGGCGUGCCUAAUACAUGCAAGUCGAGCGAACAGACGAGGAGCUUGCUCCUCUGACGUUAGCGGCGGACGGGUGAGUAACACGUGGAUAACCUACCUAUAAGACUGGGAUAACUUCGGGAAACCGGAGCUAAUACCGGAUAAUAUAUUGAACCGCAUGGUUCAAUAGUGAAAGACGGUUUUGCUGUCACUUAUAGAUGGAUCCGCGCCGCAUUAGCUAGUUGGUAAGGUAACGGCUUACCAAGGCAACGAUGCGUAGCCGACCUGGGAGGGUGAUCGGCCACGCUGGAACUGAGACACGGUCCAGACUCCUACGGGAGGCAGCAGUAGGGAAUCUUCCGCAAUGGGCGAAAGCCUGACGGAGCAACGCCGCGUGAGUGAUGAAGGUCUUCGGAUCGUAAAACUCUGUUAUUAGGGAAGAACAAAUGUGUAAGUAACUAUGCACGUCUUGACGGUACCUAAUCAGAAAGCCACGGCUAACUACGUG
rnacentral:rRNA from 1 species